CUGAACAGCUGUCAAAGACUCAAGAUCUCCCUGUUGCCUACCUUGGAAUCAGACUGCAGCCACUAUCUUCUUCCUCUUGUCUCCAUUUCUCAAGGCAUAUCUGAACAGCAACGGAACUUCUUGCUAGAACUGAACCCUAGCAGGCAGCAAUGGUAAAAAAACAAAUCACACAAUGGAGCCACACAGCACUAGGAGAGAUGAUUCUGCAAACCCAGAAGAAACUCCAGGAACCCAAUAUGCAAUAGCAACCCAAACGAUCAUCUGACACAGAAGGUCAGAAAGGGAGCAGAAGUGAGGAGACGAUUGUACCAUGGAGUGUUCCAGAAGUCAUGCUCUUCAAAUUU